CAUUUGUUAUGUCAUUCCUUUUAAUUGUAUAUAUAUUUUGUAUUUGUAUUUAAAGUACCGGGCUUCUUGAGUGCAAAAUUUAAAUAUGUUAAUAAAUAGUUUAUUUGGUAUAGUUGUGUGUUCUUCUAAUUUUAUCCAUUUUCGUUUUAUUGUGUAUAGUGCUAAUUCCAUUGGUAUACUGGAGGACUAAGACUGGCCUUCGUUAGGACCAUUUACAUAAAUGCCAAAAAUGGAAAACGAGGGGAAGAAAUUGAGUAAAUGCAUGCUUUUGGAGGACUAUACAAGUUGGGCUCAUGGCGUCCUCUCAGAACGCAGAAUGAAAUUCAUGGGAACGUAAAAAAUAAAUUAACAUACUUAAUUAGACACACACAGCCGUACAGAAGGAAACAAAAUGAAUUCCGACAAUUGAUUCUCAUGUAACUAGCGCUUUUAAAAUCGACGCUUAUUUGGCAAAUGCCCGCUUACCCUUUUCGCAAGAAAAUCGAGGUGCUGGCAGGAUUUGUCGAGAAAUUGGUGAAAUUGUACGGAAAUUGACGUUUAUGAAAAUGCCUAGAAGUGAAUGUUUCAAUUACUAAAUAUUGCUCCAACGGUU